rnacentral:rRNA from 1 species
AUAGAACCAUUGCUGCGGUUAAAAAGCUCGUAGUUGGAUCUGUGCUGGCGACAUGGUCCGCCUUAACCGGUGGUACUGAGCUCGUCGGCUUUGGGCCGGUCUUCGGACGGUCACCUUAACUGGUGGCCGCUCGUGGCUGGCUGGUUUACUUUGAGCAAAUCAGAGUGCUCAGCACAGGCGUCUCGCCGGAAUGUUCGUGCAUGGAAUAAUAGAAAAGGAUUUCGGUCCUCUUUUAUUGGUUUUGUGGACUGAGAUAAUGGUUAACAGAGACGGACGGGGGCAUUCGUAUUGCUGCGUGAGAGGUGAAAUUCUUGGACCGCAGCAGGACGGACUACAG